rnacentral:rRNA from 1 species
CCUACGGGAGGCAGCAGUGGGGAAUUUUGGACAAUGGGCGCAAGCCUGAUCCAGCAAUGCCGCGUGCAGGAUGAAGGCCUUCGGGUUGUAAACUGCUUUUGUACGGAACGAAACGGCGAGCUCUAAUAAAGUUCGCUAAUGACGGUACCGUAAGAAUAAGCACCGGCUAACUACGUGCCAGCAGCCGCGGUAAUACGUAGGGUGCAAGCGUUAAUCGGAAUUACUGGGCGUAAAGCGUGCGCAGGCGGUGAUGUAAGACAGAUGUGAAAUCCCCGGGCUCAACCUGGGACCUGCAUUUGUGACUGCAUCGCUAGAGUACGGUAGAGGGGGAUGGAAUUCCGCGUGUAGCAGUGAAAUGCGUAGAUAUGCGGAGGAACACCGAUGGCGAAGGCAAUCCCCUGGACCUGUACUGACGCUCAUGCACGAAAGCGUGGGGAGCAAACAGGAUUAGAUACCCUGGUAGUCCACGCCCUAAACGAUGUCAACUGGUUGUUGGGUCUUCACUGACUCAGUAACGAGCUAACGCGUGAAGUUGACCGCCUGGGGAGUUACGGCGCAAGGUUGAAACUUCAAAUUGAAUUGACCGGNNGAGAGNGCGAGCGACGACGAGGAGGAGG